ensembl:snRNA U6 U6 spliceosomal RNA
GUGCUCGCUUCGGCAGCACAUAUACUAAAAUUGGAAUGAUACAGAGAAGAUGAGCAUGGCCCCUGCACAAGGAUGACAAUAUUUUUAAAAUAAAUAAAAAUAAAUGU